GGAUGUGAGGUCAUCCUGGCUGUAACAUGUAACCCACUGAUUUUGAGGGUGGAUUGGCUGAUUUUGCUGGUGAGGCUGGUGUCCCUCCCGUUCCUCCCUUACCACUCCAUGUGCAUUCUUCCUGACGCUGCAUACUCCUCCCUUGAUAGAUUAAGACAAUUCUUCCAUCAAGGGUACAUAAGCAGUUGUGCUCCAAAUGAGUGUGUAAGGCCCAUAUUUGGAGGGCUUCCUCAUUAU
rnacentral:snRNA from 1 species